CAUGUUUACAUGCAGUGUACCAUGUUUACAUGCAGUUUUCAUGCAGUGUACCAUGUUUACAUGCAGUUUGCAUGCAGUGGUACAUGUUUACAUGCAGUUUACAUGCAGUGUACCAUGUUUACAUGCAGUUUGCAUGCAGUGUACCAUGUUUACAUGCAGUUUACAUGCAGUGUACCAUGUUUACAUGCAGUGAGUGUGCAAACACUCUGUUUCGUCGAGUUGAAGUUGAAUCCAUGAUCACGACUUACUGGUGUCUGGAUUUCCCUUCAUAGCUCCUGUUACACUUCACCCACAGAGGGAUCCAAAAUUAUCCCCUCCAACUAACUGAUAGGAGAGAAUGAGAGGGGGACAGUUAGCACACAGUGCUCACCUGAAACCAAAGAGGCCUCUUGGAGGCUGGAUCUGAUUCUUCCCGGCUACUACUUUACCCCACUGACAAAAGGAGAGUAGUAGCCUAGGCUGCAAAAUCCACCCUGACAACUAAAACACACUAAGAGAAUGGAUACAUCUCUUGCUAUUUCUUUGUCAUUUAUUUCCCUGGAGAGUGGCUGUUCUUCUGAAUGGUUUUAAACCACAUUAAACCACAGAUGCUAUGGCUGAUAUAUGAAGGUGCUGAGGUGUUGGGGCCCCGGAGGAACACAGAGGUGCUAUUUCUGUUCAAGUUCAUGGCAGGUCAACAUCAUGGUAAGGGGCGUUAUGGGACGAUCCGACUAUGAUUUAGGCCUAGUAUCCUAGGAUAACAUAAAUCCUUCAAUUACAUUGCGGACUAAACUCCACUCCAUGGUGAAGGAGUUCAUCAUUCAGUUAGUUCAACAUGGAGUGGAGUUCAGUCCGCUAUGUAAUUACAUAGCCGAACUAAAUUAUUCACGUGAUAUAGACAAUUAGACAUAGGGCAAAUUCGUCCGCUUGUAAACUGCUGAAGCUUUUCCAUAAUAAACUUUUUCAUUUAAUUAUCCAGGAGUAAUUCGUCCGUAGAAGCCCAAAUUCCCACGCAGACAGCCAUUAGUACUCACUACUCUCCGACAAGGGAGGGAACAGUCACAUGCAUUGAGUGAAGUAGUUGAACAGCCACCCUAGUGAGUAUUGUAGUAGGGAAGUACUCGUUAGCGCACCGACUCCGCGAGCAUCCACUCGUCUCUGUUGCGUACGAGAUCUGGAAGACCGAGGAGGAGAGU
rnacentral:lncRNA from 1 species